rnacentral:rRNA from 1 species
UACGUAGGGCGCAAGCGUUGUCCGGAAUUAUUGGGCGUAAAGAGCUCGUAGGCGGCUUGUCACGUCGGGUGUUAAAGCCCGGGGCUUAACCCCGGGUCUGCAUUCGAUACGGGCAGGCUAGAGUGUGGUAGGGGAGAUCGGAAUUCCUGGUGUAGCGGUGAAAUGCGCAGAUAUCAGGAGGAACACCGGUGGCGAAGGCGGAUCUCUGGGCCAUUACUGACGCUGAGGAGCGAAAGCGUGGGGAGCGAACAGG